ACGAACGCUGGCGGCGUGCCUAAUACAUGCAAGUAGAACGCUGAAGAGAGGAGCUUGCUCUUCUUGGAUGAGUUGCGAACGGGUGAGUAACGCGUAGGUAACCUGCCUUGUAGCGGGGGAUAACUAUUGGAAACGAUAGCUAAUACCGCAUAACAAUGGAUGACACAUGUCAUUUAUUUGAAAGGGGCAAUUGUUCCACUACAAGAUGGACCUGCGUUGUAUUAGCUAGUAGGUGAGGUAAUGGCUCACCUAGGCGACGAUACAUAGCCGACCUGAGAGGGUGAUCGGCCACACUGGGACUGAGACACGGCCCAGACUCCUACGGGAGGCAGCAGUAGGGAAUCUUCGGCAAUGGGGGCAACCCUGACCGAGCAACGCCGCGUGAGUGAAGAAGGUUUUCGGAUCGUAAAGCUCUGUUGUAAGUCAAGAACGGGUGUGAGAGUGGAAAGUUCACACUGUGACGGUAGCUUACCAGAAAGGGACGGCUAACUACGUGCCAGCAGCCGCGGUAAUACGUAGGUCCCGAGCGUUGUCCGGAUUUAUUGGGCGUAAAGCGAGCGCAGGCGGUUUGAUAAGUCUGAAGUUAAAGGCUGUGGCUCAACCAUAGUUCGCUUUGGAAACUGUCAAACUUGAGUGCAGAAGGGGAGAGUGGAAUUCCAUGUGUAGCGGUGAAAUGCGUAGAUAUAUGGAGGAACACCGGUGGCGAAAGCGGCUCUCUGGUCUGUAACUGACGCUGAGGCUCGAAAGCGUGGGGAGCGAACAGGAUUAGAUACCCUGGUAGUCCACGCCGUAAACGAUGAGUGCUAGGUGUUGGAUCCUUUCCGGGAUUCAGUGCCGCAGCUAACGCAUUAAGCACUCCGCCUGGGGAGUACGACCGCAAGGUUGAAACUCAAAGGAAUUGACGGGGGCCCGCACAAGCGGUGGAGCAUGUGGUUUAAUUCGAAGCAACGCGAAGAACCUUACCAGGUCUUGGCAUCCCGAUGCUAUUUCUAGAGAUAGAAAGUUACUUCGGUACAUCGGUGACAGGUGGUGCAUGGUUGUCGUCAGCUCGUGUCGUGAGAUGUUGGGUUAAGUCCCGCAGCGAGCGCAACCCCUAUUGUUAGUUGCCAUCAUUCAGUUGGGCACUCUAGCGAGACUGCCGGUAAUAAACCGGAGGAAGGUGGGGAUGACGUCAAAUCAUCAUGCCCCUUAUGACCUGGGCUACACACGUGCUACAAUGGUUGGUACAACGAGUUGCGAGUCGGUGACGGCGAGCUAAUCUCUUAAAGCCAAUCUCAGUUCGGAUUGUAGGCUGCAACUCGCCUACAUGAAGUCGGAAUCGCUAGUAAUCGCGGAUCAGCACGCCGCGGUGAAUACGUUCCCGGGCCUUGUACACACCGCCCGUCACACCACGAGAGUUUGUAACACCCGAAGUCGGUGAGGUAACCUUUUGGAGCCAGCCGCCUAAGGUGGGACAGAUGAUUGGGGUG
rnacentral:rRNA from 1 species